CUACGCAUCCGGAGGAAAUUGCAAAAGAUGCUAUGGCGACAAGUUCAGCUCCUCCCCGACUCGUCGAGAGGAAAAGGGCAAGCGUCGAAUAUGGAAAUACUUCGCAUUCGAGGCGGAUAAAAACAGACAUGUAAUUGAUGCUCUGAAGCCGGUGUGCAAACGAUGCCAUCGUUCACUUCAAACAAAGGGAGGAAACACCUCGAAUUUGGCGAAGCGCCUGAAAGACAGGCACCCCGAUCUCUUCAAAGAAUUCAAGAUGAUAUCAGCCAGAGGAGGAUGUCCACCAGGAGAGUCAGGAGCAAAGUCUGCAAACAUUAACACAGCCAACCUUAAGAGCAGCUUAUAAAAGGCACAAAAAGUAUGACAAAAACUCAACGAAGAAAGGAAACUGGACAGGGCAGUUUCUGAAUUUAUAUUCAUGGAUCAAGUUCCUGUCUACACUGUAGAAAAGCAUGGAUUCCAGCAAAUGCUUCAGCAGUUCAACCCCAGAUACCAGCUACCAAGCAGAAAUUACUUCAUGUAUACAGAGUUCCCCAAACUAUACACCAAAACCAGAGACCUCAUUUCAGAACCUCUCAAAGAAAAAACAGUUUAUGCCUACAUAUUUAUUAUAUAUCUAUUUUGUAAUUCCUUUUUUAGAUUAUGUGACUGUUGCCAAUAUUGUAUUUUGUGUUUUAUAAUGCUCAUGUUUAAAUAAAGGAAUUAAUGUUUAAGUAUUAUUUAUUUUUUACACACUGUGGUAUCGACUUUGGUCUUGAGUAUCGUGUAUUUUUGCUGAUAUCGGUACCAACUACUGGAUUUAUGGUAUCGUGACAUCCCUAGUUAUGAAUACUCUGUAUCUGUGGGAUUGUCCUCCUGUACUGAUGUUCCUGUCUCAGACUAAAUAAAGUGAAUUAAGUGUAAAUCCAUCAGACAGUUUUUCUGUAGUAGUGUUGAAGACCUGGCCAGUGCUCCUGUAACAACACGAGACGGUAACCAGGAAGUAAGCGCAGGAGCGAUGUCUUUAUUAAUAAAUCAAGCAAAUAAUAAACAAGGAACGCGGUGUAUACUGAACAGGACUGGCUAGAUUACACAUGGGACUAAAGUCUAGGCCUUACACAAAAACAAGGAACCAAGACCGCUAGCAUACUACACGCAUUCGCUACUACAUGCAAACUCAUCCUACAUAACGUAAACGAAUAUAAUACUGCGGGAAGUGCACAGCAACAUGAGGGGUUUAAAGAACAAACAUCAUUAAACUAAAAUCACAGACACCUGGAGUAAAUCAGCCAGG